rnacentral:sRNA from 1 species
AAUAUUGUGAUUAUUUUACCUAAGACAGUAGGAGUUAUUUGAUAACUUAAAACAUAAUCCUACCGAGGCUAAAAUUGACUUGAACGUGACUAUUAACUUUCAAGCACUUUUUGCCGUGGGUAGAAAGUGCUUUUUUUAUUAAACU